ACGCACCCUUGCCGCAUGCCUCACCCCUGCCAGUCGAACGCGACCUUCGGGUCUAGUGGCGCACGGGUGCGUAACGCGUGGGAACCUGCCCUUAGGUUCGGAAUAACUCCCCGAAAGGGGUGCUAAUACCGGAUAAUGUCUUCGGACCAAAGAUUUAUCGCCUUUGGAUGGGCCCGCGUUGGAUUAGCUAGUUGGUAGGGUAAAAGCCUACCAAGGCGACGAUCCAUAGCUGGUCUGAGAGGAUGAUCAGCCACACUGGGACUGAGACACGGCCCAGACUCCUACGGGAGGCAGCAGUGGGGAAUAUUGGACAAUGGGCGAAAGCCUGAUCCAGCAAUGCCGCGUGAGUGAUGAAGGCCUUAGGGUUGUAAAGCUCUUUUACCCGGGAUGAUAAUGACAGUACCGGGAGAAUAAGCUCCGGCUAACUCCGUG
rnacentral:rRNA from 1 species